rnacentral:rRNA from 1 species
AUGGACGGCGAUGGAGAUCCCCACGACGGGCAUCACCCUCAAAAUCCUGCCCCUUCUGACCCUCGACACCCCCAGCUUGAGGAGGAAGGUAAUCCCCUCCCUCAUGAAGCGCAGAAGGAAAUGGAAGCAGUGAGGAGAGCGAAUAAGGUAGCGCGGAAGAUACGGCGUCUGAGGGCCAAAGCUCUCGCGCGGGGGCAGGGAAAGCUACAGAAGGAGGAUCUGCCCCAAAUCACACCAGGAUCGUCCGUAGCCCUCGCCAUGGGAACCCAUGGCUACUCUGAAACUCCUCCUGACACUCAACACAGCGGGGAGCAAGCUCUGAAGCCCGGGCAAGUGCUUCGUACGGGAGUGUUGGUGGAAGCGCCUGACAAAAUCCCCUCUUCCGCCGGCACUGAUGUGUCAGCAGCACCCCCAAGACCACAUAUUCGCCAGAGCGUUUUGUACUCAGAUCGCCCAAGGCGAUCCAGGAAACCUACAUCAGAUAAGCUACCGCCCACUGGAACUGCUACUUGUGUCCGGCAAAGUGCUUUAUAUGCAGGCCGCCUCAGUCGGUUACGUGGAAGCCAGGAACCGGAAAUAACGAAUAAGCUACUGGUUGAGGAGAAUGCUAACAAGGUGAGUGGCAGUGUGGAUCUACCUGAAUCGAAGACACUAGCGCUGAAUGACACACGUCCUAAGCUUGAAUUAACUGAUAGGGUUGAGGAGAAUGCUGGCAAGGUGAGCGGCAUUGAGGGUCCUGCAGUUAAGGUUCUACCGGUUGAGGUGGAUGCUGGUGAGGUGAGCAGCAUGGAGUUUAAAGCAUCUACACUCCGCCAGUCACCUCCUACACUUAACUCAACUCACAGGUCCAAGGAAUGUGCUUAUGACACUGCCGAAAGUAAGACUGGCUCUGAAAUUGUUGCGGAGGAAAAGCUUACAGAUGAAUCAGAUCCUUGGAUGCUGGAUAGACAUAUACUAGCUGAGAGAAUGUUUGAACUAGGCAAGAAAGAACAAGGGUUCGAUGCGGCCUCUCUGCAUUGCACUGUGCAGUGGGCACAAGAAUAUCGUGAGAUACUAAAGUACUUGGCCGAACAUAGAUAUACUGACGUCGUGGAGGCUAUGAUUGCCGCUAGUCAUGGCUUUAGCAACCCGGCCCAGCAUAAACUGGAUGCUGAAGCAUUUUGGUCAUCAGGAGAGGAAUUAAAAUUUCCUGAAGUCUCCAAGCCCUUUGCCUCUCCAACAGAGAAUUCAGUGCAGGGAGAACCGUCUACCAAAGAAAUCAUUGAGGAUGCUAAGAAGUGGAUGGGCGAGGAAGUCAUGGUGGCUUUCAAGAAGUACAUCAAAUGGCAGGACCAAUUCAAAGACGUGGAGUAUAGCCUGGAUGAGCUUCAACAUCAGUGCUUCAGCGUGGAGAGCUAUGACCAUACCUUCCAUCACUUCAACUUCACCGUUAAGAUGAAGAAGCCAGACGGUGAUUGGUCAUCGACGCCCUAUUUUGCUCAAGUGAAAGAGAUCUAUGGAAGAAAAUAUUAUACCUGCUACGAACUAAGUUCAUAUGAUGAUGGUCACUGCUACGCGUGCAUAAAUCAAGGAAUGCAUGCACUGAAGCACCCUAUUGGUGAGUUCGGGUACGACGGUGGCCAUCCUGACACGGGGUCCCCCUUCCUUUAUCUUAGUGACGAUGAAUAA